rnacentral:rRNA from 1 species
CCGCCGAAGCUGCGGGAUUGCGAACCCUUCGGGGUUCGUGAUCGGUAGGGGAGCAUUCUAUAGUAGGCUGAAGGCGGACCGUAAGGUCCGCUGGACGAGAUAGAAGAGACCAUGCCGGCACGAGUAGCGAUAAAACAGGUGAGAAUCCUGUUCACCGAAAAUCUAAGGUUUCCUGGGGAAGGUUCGUCCGCCCAGGGUUAGUCGGUCCCUAAGCCGAGGCCGAAAGGCGUAGGCGAUGGAAAACAGGUCAAAAUUCCUGUACCACCUUAGAGGCGUUUGAGCUAUGGGGUGACGCAGAAGUGACGGUCAGCCCGCGAUUGGAAGUGCGGGUCGAAGCCUGUAGGGGGACAGUCUAGGUAAAUCCGGACUGUCUUAACCCCGAGAGGUGAUAGGGAAACGAGCCUUCGGGCAAGCCAACUGACCUUAAUCAUGCUGCCAAGAAAAACCUCUAUGUGAGUCUCUGUGGUGUCCGUACCGCAAACCGACACAGGUAGAUGAGGAGAGAAUCCUAAGGUGCGCGAGAGAACCCAUGUUAAGGAAUUAGGCAAACUCGCCCCGUAACUUCGGGAGAUGGGGCGCCUCCGAGUAUGUGACCGGACUUGCUCCGGGAGCGGAAGGGGGCCGCAGUGAAAAGGCUCGGGCGACUGUUUACUAAAAACACAGGUCUCUGCUAAGUCGCAAGACGACGUAUAGGGGCUGACACCUGCCCGGUGCGAGUAAAUUAAGAGGAGGGGUUAGCCUUCGGGCGAAGCUCUGAAUCGAAGUUCUCGUAAACGGCGGCCGUAACUAUAACGGUCCUAAGGUAGCGAAAUUCCUCGUCGGAUAAAAACCGACCUGCACGAAUGGUGUAACGGCUUGAGCGCUGUCUCGACAUGGGACUCGGCGAAACUGUAGUUCCGGUGAAGAUGCCGGAUACCCGCAGCGGGACGGAAAGACCCCGUGAACCUUUACUCUAGCUUGGCACUGGGUUUUGGCACAGUAUGUGUAGGAUAGGUGGGAGGCUUUGAAGCGGAUGCGCCAGCGUUCGUGGAGCCAUCCUUGAAAUACCACCCUUACUCUGUUGAAAUUCUAACCUUGGCCCUUGAAUCAGGGUCGGGAACACUGCCUGGUGGGAAGUUUGGCUGGGGCGGUCGCCUCCCAAAAUGUAACGGAGGCGUUCAAAGGUUCCCUCAGCGCGGUCGGUAAUCGCGCGAAGAGUGCAAAGGCAUAA